rnacentral:misc_RNA from 1 species
GAUGAAGAACGUAGCAAAAUGCGAUAAGUAAUGUGAAUUGCAGAAUUCAGUGAAUCAUCGAAUCUUUGAACGCACAUUGCGCCCGCUGGUAUUCCGGCGGGCAUGCCUGUUCGAGCGUCAUUUCAACCCUCAAGCCCCCGGGUUUGGUGUUGGGGAUCGGCUCUGCCCUUCUGGGCGGUGCCGCCCCCGAAAUACAUUGGCGGUCUCGCUGCAGCCUCCAUUGCGUAGUAGCUAACACCUCGCAACUGGAACGCGGCGCGGCCAUGCCGUAAAACCCCAACUUCUGAAUGUUGACCUCGGAUCAGGUAGGACUACCCGCUGAACUUAAGCAUAUCAAUAAGCGGAGGA